CCUACGGGUGGCUGCAGUGAGGAAUAUUGGUCAAUGGCCGCAAGGCUGAACCAGCCAAGUCGCGUGAAGGAAGACGGACCUAUGGUUUGUAAACUUCUUUUAUAGGGGAAUAAAGUUAUCCACGUGUGGAUUUUUGCAUGUACCCUAUGAAUAAGCAUCGGCUAACUCCGUGCCAGCAGCCGCGGUAAUACGGAGGAUGCGAGCGUUAUCCGGAUUUAUUGGGUUUAAAGGGUGCGUAGGUUGUUUUUUAAGUCAGCUGUGAAAGUUUGUGGCUCAACCAUAAAAUUGCAAUUGAUACUGGAAGUCUUGAGUGUGUUUGAGGUAGGCGGAAUGCGUGGUGUAGCGGUGAAAUGCAUAGAUAUCACGAAGAACUCCGAUUGCGAAGGCUGCUUACUAAGCCAUCACUGACACUGAAGCACGAAAGCGUGGGGAUCAAACAGGAUUAGAUACCUGAGUAGUC
rnacentral:rRNA from 1 species